AUCGUCGUCCCCCCAUCCUCUCGAGGAUAUGGGACGGAAGCUGGUCUCCCGUGUGUUACCGCACGCGGUUGGCCAAAAUCCGAGCUAAGGACGUUUUGGAGCGUCUCGACAUGCGGUGGUGAAUUGUAACCUCGUCAUAUUGUCGGUCGUUCCGGUUCAAAAGCUCUUGAUGACCCAAAGUCCUCAAC
rnacentral:misc_RNA from 1 species